AAUGUUUGAGAAAAAAAUGGUGCAGUAUCCUAGUCAGGUAACUAACUUUUAAGGCGGGGCUAAAAAUCCGCCAAAGGGCACAUCGAUGAAGCUUCUGGUGCUGGCUUUUGACGCCCAGUCAAGGGCUUGUGCUGGGAGUAAGGAGUUGGGGCAGCCGCAACGGCAUGCGCAACUGACCCUACCUCCGCGGAGACCAUAACUUGUGGAAUGGGCUAGAUACCUAUUCUACGAUUAUGGAUUAAACCUGCAAUGUGGUGAAGAGCUAUGUGCAGUGUAGCCUGCCUUGAGUGGGGUAGGUAGAGGAGAAGCGUUUAGCAGCUGAAACCUAUCCUGCAAAAGAGGCUAAGAAGUUAGCCAACUGUUGAGGAAAGCUCCUAGGCUGUUCAUAUUUUGAUGAGGAAUACUAAGGAUUGCAGUGCGGACUAAGUGGUAAUCCAGUACCAUAGCUUUGGCAACACUAUGGGUAGAAUUUUAAAGGGAAACCGUCAAGAUGGUGACAUUUUGAUAAUUCUAUGGGAAAUCCGACUGGACCUAAGACGCAAAAUUUACUUAGUAUUCCACCAUUUUUAUUAUUUUGGAG
rnacentral:sRNA from 1 species